rnacentral:rRNA from 1 species
UACGUAGGCAGCGAGCGUUGUUCGGAAUUACUGGGCGUAAAGAGUGUGUAGGUGGUGCUCUAAGUUUGGUGUGAAAUCUCCCGGCUCAACCGGGAGGGUGCAUCGAAAACUGGAGUGCUAGAGGAUGGGAGAGGCAAGCGGAAUUCCUGGUGUAGCGGUGAAAUGCGUAGAUAUCAGGAGGAACACCUGUGGUGUAGACAGCUUGCUGGACCAUUUCUGACACUGAGACACAAAAGCGUGGGUAGCAAACAGG